rnacentral:rRNA from 1 species
UACGUAGGGUGCAAGCGUUGUCCGGAAUUAUUGGGCGUAAAGAGCUCGUAGGCGGUUUGUCGCGUCUGCUGUGAAAACCCGAGGCUCAACCUCGGGCCUGCAGUGGGUACGGGCAGACUAGAGUGCGGUAGGGGAGAUUGGAAUUCCUGGUGUAGCGGUGGAAUGCGCAGAUAUCAGGAGGAACACCAAUGGCGAAAGCAGAUCUCUGGGCCGUAACUGACGCUGAGGAGCGAAAGCAUGGGGAGCGAACAGG